GCGCCCGUAGCUCAGGGGAUAGAGCAACGGCCUUCUAAGCCGUCGGUCGCUGGUUCGAAUCCAGCCGGGCGCG
rnacentral:tRNA from 1 species